rnacentral:rRNA from 1 species
UUCUUUAAGAAUUAAUUUAAAGUAUAUCCUGCUCAAUGAAUAUUUAAAUAGCCGCAGUUAAUCUGUGCUAAGGUAGCAUAAUCAUUUGCUUUCUAAAUAAAAGAUAGAAUGAAAGGUUACAUGAUUAAUAACUUUUUUAUGAAAACUAAAUAAUUUAAAAUUAAUGUAAAAAAUCAUUAAUAAUUAAGCAAGACGAUAAGACCCUGCUAAACUUAUUAUUUAGUUGGGGUGACAAUAUAACAAAAUCUUAUAGGAUAAAAUAAUUCAACCUUAAAUAAUCAAGAUUUAAAUCAGUUACUACAGGGAUAACAGCGCAAUAAUUUUUUAGAGCUCAUAUCCAAAAAAAAGAUUACGACCUCGAUGUUGAAUUAAUUAAACUAAAUAAAGCAAAACUUAUUAAAGUAAGUCUGUUCGACUUUUAAAGAAUU